UACGUAUGGGGCAAGCGUUAUCCGGAUAUACUGGGUGUAAAGGGAGCGCAGGCGGCCUGGCAAGCCUGAUGUGAAAUACCGGGGCCCAACCCCGGGGCUGCAUUGGGAACUGCCAGGCUGGAGUGCCGGAGAGGCAGGCGGAAUUCCUAGUGUAGCGGUGAAAUGCGUAGAUAUUAGGAGGAACACCAGUGGCGAAGGCGGCCUGCUGGACGGUGACUGACGCUGAGGCUCGAAAGCGUGGGGAGCAAACAGG
rnacentral:rRNA from 1 species